CCCCACCUCUGUUGCUGCAAUCCGCAGUGGACAGACCUUCCUGAAGCAUGAUGUGCCCUUCCUUUUCGCCGAAGUGAACAAUGAUAAGGUUUACUGGCAGCGGAGAUGUGAUGGGACCUUUGGUGUUGUUCAUACUGAGAAGGAUGUAGUAGGUCACUGCAUCAGUACCAAAGCUGUUGGCUCAGAUCAACGUGUAGACAUCACAAAUCUCUACAAACACCCACUUGGUUCUUCUGAGAAGAGCACUGCUUUGGAAACAGCCCUUCGUCAUGGGUUGAGAAGAUGCACAUACCCACUGCCCUGUGCUGAGGAUGUUGUCUGUGAAGUCAGCCUGAAAGAGGACGGACCAUGUGUGGGCAAGGAUG